AGCAGCAUGGCGCAGCGGAAGCGUGCUGGGCCCAUAACCGAGAGGUCCCUGGAUCGAAACCAGGUGCUGCUA
rnacentral:tRNA from 1 species